GAUGAUGCGUUACAGAUCAGAGACCUGAGUCUGCAGCGACUCUCUUCCUCUCUCUGCUGAACACUUCCUGAAACAACGAGGCAAACACGUGAAUAGAAGAAAACAACAUUUUUCCAAAAAAUUCAAAAUUUGAAAUGUACCGUUAGUAUUGGAGAACUACUUCCUGCAAACUCGUGUUCCUGUGAGACCUGUGGCUCUGCAUGGACAGGAGCACCUGAGGGUCCACGUCAGAGUCAAACCAGACGGCGUUUCAAAUAUUCAGUAUCUGUGAUGUCAGCAGGUUUGUGGCAACACACUGGGUGAGUGACCAGGUGUGUUACCAGUUCCAAGACCCGACGACUCAGUUUCAUCAAGGCUCAGAGAAAAUCUACUGGACUCACCACCAACUGUGAGGACGGCUGCUGCCACCUUCUCCCUGUGAGACAGACAGACAGGUCAGAUGACAUGUGACUAUACCAGCGGAUUUCCCAGCAUGCUCCUCACCAGGAAGUAGUCGAAGAACUCCUCAGUCAGGC